rnacentral:rRNA from 1 species
UACGAAGGGAGCUAGCGUUGUUCGGAAUCACUGGGCGUAAAGAGCGCGUAGGCGGUGUGACAAGUCAGAGGUGAAAGCCCGGGGCUCAACCCCGGAACUGCCUUUGAAACUGUCACGCUAGAGGAUGAUAGGGGAUGGUGGAAUUCCUAAUGUAGCGGUGAAAUGCGUAGAUAUUAGGAGGAACACCGGUGGCGAAGGCGGCCAUCUGGAUCAUUACUGACGCUGAGGCGCGAAAGCGUGGGGAUCAAACAGG